AUGGGUCCUUUGCUCUGCCAUGAGCACUGCUCCAGACAGCCGAAGCACCACCUCAGCCAGCGGCUUCCCCUUCGAGCACCGUCAGAGAAUAGUCGUUGGGUUUCUCUCUCAAGAACCAGACUUUCUCACUCUAACUAGCCAUUUUCCACUCUUUUCACAUUAGCAGACACUGAGCUCCUACACUAAGAGUUGGUGCACAAACUACUAGCA
rnacentral:lncRNA from 1 species